ACUCAAAUGAAUAGACGGGGGCCCGCACAAGCGGUGGAUUAUGUGGUUUAAUUCGAUGAUACGCGAGGAACCUUACCAAGGCUUAAAUGGGAAUUGACAGGUUUAGAAAUAGACUUUUCUUCGGACAAUUUUCAAGGUGCUGCAUGGUUGUCGUCAGCUCGUGCCGUGAGGUGUUAGGUUAAGUCCUGCAACGAGCGCAACCCCUGUCACUAGUUGCUAGCAUUAAGUUGAGGACUCUAGUGAGACUGCCUACGCAAGUAGAGAGGAAGGUGGGGAUGACGUCAAAUCAUCACGGCCCUUACGCCUUGGGCCACACACGUAAUACAAUGGCCAGUACAGAGGGCUGCUACCAGGCGACUGGAUGCUAAUCUCGAAAGCUGGUCUCAGUUCGGAUUGGAGUCUGCAACUCGACUCUAUGAAGCUGGAAUCGCUAGUAAUCGCGCAUCAGCCAUGGCGCGGUGAAUACGUUCCCGGGCCUUGCACACACCGCCCGU
rnacentral:rRNA from 1 species